rnacentral:tRNA from 2 species
AGGCCCUGGGGUGUCACACGUGAGAUUGCAAAUCUCAAGAAGCAGGUUAGAGCCUGCCGGGGCUUC